GAUGAACGCUGGCGGCGUGCCUAAUACAUGCAAGUCGAGCGAAUGGAUUAAGAGCUUGCUCUUAUGAAGUUAGCGGCGGACGGGUGAGUAACACGUGGGUAACCUGCCCAUAAGACUGGGAUAACUCCGGGAAACCGGGGCUAAUACCGGGUAAUAUUCUGAACUGCAUGGUUCAAAAUUGAAAGGCGGCUUCGGCUGUCACUUAUGGAUGGACCCGCGUCGCAUUAGCUAGUUGGUGAGGUAACGGCUCACCAAGGCAACGAUGCGUAGCCGACCUGAGAGGGUGAUCGGCCACACUGGGACUGAGACACGGCCCAGACUCCUACGGGAGGCAGCAGUAGGGAAUCUUCCGCAAUGGACGAAAGUCUGACGGAGCAACGCCGCGUGAGUGAUGAAGGCUUUCGGGUCGUAAAACUCUGUUGUUAGGGAAGAACAAGUGCUAGUUGAAUAAGCUGGCACCUUGACGGUACCUAACCAGGAAGCCACGGCUAACUACGUGCCAGCCGCCGCAGUAA
rnacentral:rRNA from 1 species